AGAAGGAAUUUUUGAAAAAUAUAAAUGAAGUGGAGAGAUAAGGAGGCCAAGUUUGUGGGUGAGGACAAGGUUGUUUUGGAAGAGGGAGGAGAGUAGUUGUUCUUGUGCACAGAGCGAGCAUGAAGCCACAUAACCUAUUUUAUUUUCAUUUUAAUUCCUUUGUGAGUUAGUUCUUUCGGUUAUUUCAUCAUUUGUAUAAGGAUAUGGGGUCGAGCAUGGACAGCAGCAGUAUCCUAGUUUACAAUGAAGUGAGGACUUGUCUUGGACCAUAGACAUUUGAGUUUGCAUCAUUUGCGAUGACAGGACAAAGCAUUUUGGCUGGCCUCAUGGAGCUCACACACACUUACCAAUUUCUGGGUAUGUAUCUUUACAUACUGAAUGAUGACAGUACUAAUUAUUAAUAUCAUUCAGUUAGUAGUUGGAACUACUUGUAACUUAGACCUUUACAAUUCAAACCUAAUUUGUUGCAACUCUAAUUAUUUUCGACUUGGAUUUAGUUAUAUGUUAUUUACCAUCUUCUGCUUUCUGUCACCACAUCUUUAGCUUUCUCUCUCUCUCUAUAUAUAUACUUUACUCUCUUAACUUUAGCCUUUAACACAUCAAUUUCCUAUAUUCUGUACUUAAAAGCAAUGCUCCAACUACUUGGGAGCAUCAUUAAAGAUAUAAUUUAGUUUUUAUACUUAUUUUAUUUUACAGAAUGAUAAUUUUAAAUGUUCUAUUCGUCCCAUAAAAAAAAUGGACAUAUGAUAUGUUUUAAUGAAAAACUAGUUAAAAAUCCGAAGGAGGUGAAAUGUUGGAUAAACGUAGCUUGAAAUCAUCAAAUAGUUUAUCUAGUGGUGGCGAGAAACGAGGAAGGAGGUUCAUAUUACUGGGGAGGUUGAGAAGGCUCUGCUCUGCUCUGCUAACAUAAGAAAAUGUGAUUGCCAUAUUAAAGCAGCAAAGAAGUGAAACUAAGUCACAACAUGAUCAAAUCAAUCGAAACUCUACUUCAGUUGAACCAACCAUCAUUUUGGAGAAUCAUGCUUCCAGGUUGUGAAGGGGGAGGAAUGAUAGCAAAGUGAAGAUAACUGUAGCGCCAUCCAUUACAAACUUCCAAUUGUUUGAAACUUUGAUUACCCUUUGCAUAUGAUAACUUUUUGAAGAGAGGGGUUUUGCACGUGUGUCAUGUGCAUAUGUCCCUCCUUUCAGGGACGGAUCUAGGAAUUCUUAGCAAGAGGGGCAAAAAUAUACAUGGAGAAAUUUUAAAAAUUAAAGAA